GAUCGCUGUGAUGCGGGCGGUUCGCCGCUCGUGACUCUGCGAGAAGUCCAUUGAACCUUAUCAUUUAGAGGAAGGAGAAGUCGUAACAAGGUUUCCGUAGGUGAACCUGCGGAAGGAUCAUUGUCGAGACCAAAGUAUAUCGAGCGAUCCGGCGAAUCUGUCAGAAAAAGAAGCAUUUAUUGUUUCUAUCAAACAAGCUAUCCCUUUCAUUUCGUAAAACCCAUUUUGGGUGAUGAUGUGAUGAGGGAUGGAUGAACACUCAAACUAGCGCAACAUCGCGCCAAGGGAUUAUUGAAACACGAGCCCAUAAAUGGGCUUGGUGGCAUGUAGUGCUGUUGCACUUCAUAUGAAUUGACACGACUCUCGGCAAUGGAUAUCUCGGCUCUUGCAUCGAUGAAGAGCGCAGCGAAAUGCGAUACGUGGUGCGAAUUGCAGAAUCCCGUGAACCAUCGAGUCUUUGAACGCAAGUUGCGCCCGAGGCCAAUCGGCUAAGGGCACGCCUGCCUGGGCGUCAAGUGUUAUGUCACUCCAUGUCAUUUGUGUCCCAUUAUUGGGAGAAUUAUCAAUGGCAUGGAUGUGUAGAGUGGCUCGUCGUGCCCAUUGGUGCGGCGGGUUGAAGAGCCGGACAUAUUCUCAAGGGUGCGAGCAAUAAGGGGUGGAUUUUUUUGAGGCCUGUUUUAUUGUAUCGUGUAUGCUCGGGAGAAUAUUAUCCUAAUCAAGCCGAUCCCAAUUUAUGCGUCGAUCCAUGGAUGACGUUUGGAAUGCGACCCCAGGAUGGGCGAGGCCACCCGCUGAGUUUAAGCAUAUCAAUAAGCGGAGGAGAAGAAACUUACGAGGAUUCCCUUAGAGGAUUCCCUUA
rnacentral:rRNA from 1 species